rnacentral:rRNA from 1 species
AUUGGACGCUGGCGGCAUGCCUUACACAUGCAAGUCGAACGGCAGCACGGGGGCAACCCUGGUGGCGAGUGGCGAACGGGUGAGUAAUGCAUCGGAACGUGUCCUCUUGUGGGGGAUAACCAGUCGAAAGAUUGGCUAAUACCGCAUGAGAUCGAGAGAUGAAAGCGGGGGACCCGAGGGUAACUUCGGGCCUCGCGCGAGAGGAGCGGCCGAUGCCGGAUUAGCUAGUUGGUGGGGUAAGAGCCUACCAAGGCGACGAUCCGUAGCUGGUCUGAGAGGACGACCAGCCACACUGGGACUGAGACACGGCCCAGACUCCUACGGGAGGCAGCAGUGGGGAAUUUUGGACAAUGGGCGCAAGCCUGAUCCAGCCAUGCCGCGUGUGUGAAGAAGGCC